AACGAACGCUGGCGGCAUGCCUAACACAUGCAAGUCGAACGAGACGUUCGGGAGUAGGGGCGCAUGGGGUCGUAAGGCGUGGGAACCGGCCCUUAGGGUCGGAAUAACUACCCGAAAGGGGUGCUAAUACGGGAUAAUAGCUUCGAACCCAAGAUUUAUCGCACUUGGUUGGACACGAGUGGGAUUAGCUAUUUGUUAGGGUAAUAGACGCCCAAGGCGACGAUUAAUAACUUGUUUGUGAGAAUGAUCAGCCACACUGAGAGUGAGACGCGGCCCAGAAUCCUACGGGAGGCGGCAAUGCGGAAUAUUGGAACACCGGCUGAAGCCUGAUGCACCUCUGACGCGUGAGUGAUGAAGGCAUUAGGGUUGUAAAGCUUUUUUAACCGGGAUGAUCAUGACAGUACCGAGAGAGUAAGCCACGGCUAACUCCGUG
rnacentral:rRNA from 1 species